AUUGAACGCUGGCGGCAGGCUUAACACAUGCAAGUCGAGCGGAGAUGAGGUGCUUGCACCUUAUCUUAGCGGCGGACGGGCGAGUAAUGCUUAGGAAUCUGCCUAUUAGUGGGGGACAACAUUCCGAAAGGAAUGCUAAUACCGCAUACGUCCUACGGGAGAAAGCAGGGGAUCUUCGGACCUUGCGCUAAUAGAUGAGCCUAAGUCGGAUUAGCUAGUGGGUGGGGUAAAGGCCUACCAAGGCGACGAUCUGUAGCGGGUCUGAGAGGAGGAUCCGCCACACUGGGAAUGAGAAACGGCCCAGACUCCUACGGGAGGCAGCAGUGGGGAAUAUUGGACAAUGGGGGGAACCCUGAUCCAGCCAUGCCGCGUGUGUGAAGAAGGCCUUAUGGUUGUAAAGCACUUUAAGCGAGGAGGAGGCUACUGAGACUAAUACUCUUGGAUAGUGGACGUUACUCGCAGAAUAAGCACCGGCUAACUCUGUGCCAGCAGCCGCCGUAA
rnacentral:rRNA from 1 species